rnacentral:rRNA from 1 species
GUGGGUAACCUGCCUCAUACAGGGGGAUAACAGUUAGAAAUGACUGCUAAUACCGCAUAAGCGCACAGCAUCACAUGAUGCAGUGUGAAAAACUCCGGUGGUAUGAGAUGGACCCGCGUCUGAUUAGCUAGUUGGUGAGGUAACGGCUCACCAAGGCGACGAUCAGUAGCCGACCUGAGAGGGUGAUCGGCCACAUUGGGACUGAGACACGGCCCAAACUCCUACGGGAGGCAGCAUG